GGAAGUAAAAGUUGUAACAAGGUUUCCGUAGGUGAACCUGCGGAAGGAUCAUUAUUGUAUAACCGAGGUGCGAGGGCUGUCGCUGACCCGAAAGGUCGUGCACGCCCGAGUGCCCUCACACACAUCCAUCUCACCCCUAUGUGCACCACCGCGUGGGUCCCCCUUUGGCUUGUUCGGAGGGGGGCUUACGUUUUCACACAAACUUUGUAUGCAGUGUAGGAUGUAUUUUUUGUUUUUGCGAUCACGCAAUCAAUACAACUUUCAACAACGGAUCUCUUGGCUCUC
rnacentral:misc_RNA from 1 species